GUGCAGCAGUCGAGAAUUUUUCUCAAUGGGGGAAACCCUGAAGGAGCGACGCCGCGUGGAGGAUGAAGGUCUUCGGGUUGUAAACUCCUGUCAUUUGAGAACAAGGUGCACAUGUUAACUGCAUGUGCAUUGAUAGUAUCAGAAGAGGAAGGGACGGCUAACUCUGUGCCGGCAGCCGCGGUAAUACAGAGGUCCCAAGCGUUGUUCGGAUUCAUUGGGCGUAAAGGGUGUGUAGGUGGCGCCGUAAGUCGGGUGUGAAAUCUCGGGGCUUAAACUCCGAAACUGCAUUCGAUACUGCGGUGCUUGAGGACUGGAGAGGAGACUGGAAUUCAUGGUGUAGCAGUGAAAUGCGUAGAGAUCAUGAGGAAGACCAGUGGCGAAGGCGGGUCUCUGGACAGUUCCUGACACUGAGACACGAAGGCCAGGGGAGCAAACGGGAUUGGAUACCCCUGUAGU
rnacentral:rRNA from 1 species